CACUGCCGAGAAAAGCCUCUAGAUAGAAAAUAGGUGCCCGUACCGCAAACCGACACAGGUAGUCAAGAUGAGAAUUCUAAGGUGAGCGAGCGAACUCUCGUUAAGGAACUCGGCAAAAUGACCCCGUAACUUCGGGAGAAGGGGUGCUCUUUAGGGUUAACGCCCAGAAGAGCCGCAGUGAAUAGGCCCAAGCGACUGUUUAUCAAAAACACAGGUCUCUGCUAAACCGUAAGGUGAUGUAUAGGGGCUGACGCCUGCCCGGUGCUGGAAGGUUAAGAGGAGUGGUUAGCUUCUGCGAAGCUACGAAUCGAAGCCCCAGUAAACGGCGGCCGUAACUAUAACGGUCCUAAGGUAGCGAAAUUCCUUGUCGGGUAAGUUCCGACCCGCACGAAAGGCGUAACGAUUUGGGCACUGUCUCAACGAGAGACUCGGUGAAAUCAUAGUACCUGUGAAGAUGCAGGUUACCCGCGACAGGACGGAAAGACCCCGUGGAGCUUUACUGUAGCCUGAUAUUGAAAUUCGG
rnacentral:rRNA from 1 species